UACGUAGGGUGCUAACGUUGUUCGGAAUCACUGGGCAUAAAGAGCGCGUAGGCGGUCUGAUAAGUCAGGUGUGAAAUCCCCCGGCUCAACCGGGGAACUGCACCUGAUACUGUUGGGCUUGAGUGCAGGAGGGGAGAGCGGAAUUCCUGGUGGAGCGGUGAAAUGCGUAGAUAUUCGGAAGAACACCAGUGGCGAAGGCGACUCACUGGACACAUAUUGACGCUGAGGUGCAAAAGCGUGGGGAGCAAACAGG
rnacentral:rRNA from 1 species